UUUGCGGCAUUUGCGCGAAUUUGAAGCACCUGUAAUUAGUUUAUUGUCCUCCGUUUAGGCUGACAGCACCCUUAAAAGAAACGUGGCCGUUUAAAUCGGCCCACAACUACUCAGGAUGCGGAGUCUGACGUCGCGUCGUGCUGCCGCUGCGUGUCCACGAGAAUUGUCGUGUGGAAACCCGUAUGAACUUUUAGUCUGGUGCAGCGUGGUCCUCGUUCCUGUGGUGCCAUAGAGCCUGCGAGCGCCAUCAUCAUUGCCGGUUCGUGUUACAACCAAGGUUAUCUACGAGAGGCGUCGCGAGGCCCAGCCAAGACUUUAAACGUCAGGGUGGACAUUGUCUCGCACCUCAAGGAAGCAUCCGGCGGCACAAGCUGUCCAUCUGCCAGUGACACAUAGUGGCAAGAUGGCAGUUGCAGCACUUGCUGCUCUUGGCAUCCUAUGUCUACAAGCUCAACCACCUGGGGUCUCAUUCACAUUCACCACGGUGCACCCGACAAGAUUCAAAUAGGCCACUUCGUGCUGCCGCCGUCCUGCAUCGUCGUGCAUUGGGGCCUACGAGCCUCAAGCAAUGUCAUCGCGAUAAAGACUACAGUUUUACGAAAGGUAAGGUCCAAGCUCGGGAAGGUGAGUGUCUUCAUUCAACUGU